AGAACGAACGCUGGCGGCAUGCCUAAUACAUGCAAGUCGAACGAACACUUCGGUGUUAGUGGCGCACGGGUGCGUAACGCGUGGGAAUCUGCCCUUGGGUUCGGAAUAACAGUUGGAAACGACUGCUAAUACCGGAUGAUAUCGAAAGAUCAAAGAUUUAUCGCCCAGGGAUGAGCCCGCGUAGGAUUAGCUAGUGGUGAGGUAAAGCUCACCAAGGCGACGAUCCGUUAGCUGGUCUGAGAGGAUGAUCAGCCACACUGGGACUGAGACCACGGCCCAAGACCUCGUACGGGAGCAGCGAGUAGGGAAUAGUUGGACGAAUGGGCGACGAAGCCUGACUCCGAG
rnacentral:rRNA from 1 species